UGUGCGAGAAUGAGCGAUCUAAUCAAUAUGUCAUAUUUGGCUGGUUGCACUGCAAAAACUGGCAACAGUUACUGAUGUUAUGACAGAUUGUUUUUGUUUUGUCUGGAUAACGAAUCACAGAUCGAAUCGAUCGAACAGCAUUAGAAUUAUUAAUUUUUAAUCAGGUUUUUAAUGCUUAUUUGCUUGACCGAAGACGUUGUUGGAGUUUCUGAGCAUUCGAAAAAUCAAACAUCAUCAACAGAAGAUGCAUUCAUCGGGGCGCAGCAAUCGUAUUAAUGAGAGCGGUUUCCCUUGCGGAAUCAAACUAUUUAAUCAAUAUAUAGCACCAUCGAUCAACUAUUGUAUGCAAAAUAAUACAUGAGGUAUUUAGACCGACAGUGAGAAUAUUACUAUGCGGAAGGUUCUCGGGUUAAGUCCAAAAGUUAGAGAUUGUCGAGUGAUCGAAAAUGCAGUCGACUCAUCUCGAUAUCCCAAAGACCAUUCAAACCACCAAGAACCAGGAAACUAGGGAGCACAAAUUUCAUAUAGUUCAAAUCAUCUAUAACCCAGGAUAAGUAUAAUUAAAGUUUUAAUAGAGGUUUUUUAUCUUUAUGUUAUAUAUUUUUGGCAAUGCGAUUUCUUGACAUUCGACUUAUAUUCUACAAGUAAUGAUGUAAAUUUUCGAAAAUUGAGGUAGGGAAAGUGUACCAGUUAUGGUACGGUUUGAUAUUAUAACGACGCAGUAAAAUGCGUUAUCGCAUAAGUAGGUGCUAGCUCAAAUUUCAAUAUGCAGGAGAUGGUGCGUGAGUGCCCUGAUGAUGUUUCGGAAAAAUAAAUGAGGAAUAGAAUAACCUUCAGA
rnacentral:lncRNA from 1 species